rnacentral:rRNA from 1 species
GCCAGACUCCUACGGGAGGCAGCAGUGGGGCCUCUUUCACAAUGGUCGCCCGCCUGAUUCAGCCCUGCCGCGUUUCUGCAGAAGGCCUUCUGGUUGUAAAUUCCUUUCAGCGGGGAGGCAGGCGAUAAGUUUCAUAACCUUGUCGAUUGACGUUACCCGCAGAAGAAGCACCGGCUAACUCCGUGCCAGCAGCCGCGGUACUACGGAGGGUGCAAGCGUUAAUCGGAAUUACUGGGCGUAAAGCGCACGCAGGCGGUCUUGCAAGUCGGAUGUGAAAUCCCCGGUCUCAACCUGGGAACUGCAUUCGAAACUGGCAGGCUGGAGUCUUGUAGAGGGGGGGAGAAUUCCAGGUGUAGCGGUGAAAUGCGUAGA